GGGGGCGUUAUGGAUUCGACAGGCGAAUCUGAGGCUUGAAUUGCAGCUCGAGGGCAUCUCGCUAAUCUGCGCAGAAAAUAUAACUGCUAAAAAUACAAACACUUACGCUUUAGCUGCCUAAACCACAGUUAAACGUGGCCAUCAUUUAAUCGCUUGCGUUAAAUUGACUGGCCCUAACUUUAGCAAGAUACGCUCGCUCUAUUUCUAGGAUUGCGGGAAGAGAUUUACUAGAAUUGCUUGCUAGCUGCUUGGUCACGUGUGCUGCUAGUGGGUGAAAUUUAACGCGCUGACUAUGGCUGUAGAUUUUUGGGUUAUCACUCGUUUGGACAGGGGUUCGACUCCCCUCGCUUCCAUUU
rnacentral:tmRNA from 1 species